UGAGGAUUAUUCGCUUGCUUG
rnacentral:siRNA from 1 species